CCUACGGGAGGCAGCAGUGGGGAAUUUUCCGCAAUGGGCGAAAGCCUGACGGAGCAACGCCGCGUGAGGGAUGAAGGCCUCUGGGCUGUAAACCUCUUUUAUCAAGGAAGAAGAUCUGACGGUACUUGAUGAAUAAGCCACGGCUAAUUCCGUGCCAGCAGCCGCGGUAAUACGGGAGUGGCAAGCGUUAUCCGGAAUUAUUGGGCGUAAAGCGUCCGCAGGCGGUCUUGUAAGUCUGUCGUUAAAGCGUGGAGCUCAACUCCAUUUCGGCGGUGGAAACUACAAGACUAGAGUGUGGUAGGGGCAGGGGGAAUUCCCGGUGUAGCGGUGAAAUGCGUAGAUAUCGGGAAGAACACCAGUGGCGAAGGCGCUCUGCUGGGCCAUAACUGACGCUCAUGGACGAAAGCUAGGGGAGCGAAAGGGAUUAGAUACCCCUGUAGUCCUAGCCGUAAACGAUGAACACUAGGUGUCGGGGGAAUCGACCCCCUCGGUGUCGUAGCUAACGCGUUAAGUGUUCCGCCUGGGGAGUACGCACGCAAGUGUGAAACUCAAAGGAAUUGACGG
rnacentral:rRNA from 1 species